AUUGAACGCUGGCGGCAGGCCUAACACAUGCAAGUCGAGCGGAUGAAGGGAGCUUGCUCCUGGAUUCAGCGGCGGACGGGUGAGUAAUGCCUAGGAAUCUGCCUGGUAGUGGGGGAUAACGUCCGGAAACGGGCGCUAAUACCGCAUACGUCCUGAGGGAGAAAGUGGGGGAUCUUCGGACCUCACGCUAUCAGAUGAGCCUAGGUCGGAUUAGCUAGUUGGUGGGGUAAAGGCCUACCAAGGCGACGAUCCGUAACUGGUCUGAGAGGAUGAUCAGUCACACUGGAACUGAGACACGGUCCAGACUCCUACGGGAGGCAGCAGCGGGAAUAUUGGACAAUGGGCGAAAGCCUGAUCCAGCCAUGCCGCGUGUGUGAAGAAGGUCUUCGGAUUGUAAAGCACUUUAAGUUGGGAGGAAGGGCAGUAAGUUAAUACCUUGCUGUUUUGACGUUACCAACAGAAUAAGCACCGGCUAACUUCGUG
rnacentral:rRNA from 1 species